rnacentral:rRNA from 1 species
UGGGGAAUAUUGGACAAUGGGGGCAACCCUGAUCCAGCAAUGCCGCGUGAGUGAUGAAGGCCUUCGGGUUGUAAAGCUCUUUUGUUAGGGAAGAUAAUGACGGUACCUAACGAAUAAGCACCGGCUAACUUCGUGCCAGCAGCCGCGGUAAUACGAAGGGUGCUAGCGUUGUUCGGAAUUACUGGGCGUAAAGGGCGCGUAGGCGGUUAUGUAAGUCAGAUGUGAAAGCCUUGGGCUUAACCUAAGAAUUGCAUUUGAUACUGCAUUGACUAGAGAUCGAGAGAGGAAAGUGGAAUUACGAGUGUAGAGGUGAAAUUCGUAGAUAUUCGUAAGAACAUCGGUGGCGAAGGCGGCUUUCUGGCUCGAUACUGACGCUAAGGCGCGAAAGCGUGGGGAGCAA